rnacentral:rRNA from 1 species
UGCAAGUCGAACGGCAGCACGGGAGCAAUCCUGGUGGCGAGUGGCGAACGGGUGAGUAAUAUAUCGGAACGUGCCCAGUCGUGGGGGAUAACGUAGCGAAAGCUACGCUAACACCGCAUACGAUCUACGGAUGAAAGCGGGGGAUCGCAAGACCUCGCGCGAUUGGAGCGGCCGAUAUCAGAUUAGGUAGUUGGUGGGGUAAAAGCCCACCAAGCCGACGAUCUGUAGCUGGUCUGAGAGGACGACCAGCCACACUGGGACUGAGACACGGCCCAGACUCCUACGGGAGGCAGCAGUGGGGAAUUUUGGACAAUGGGCGCAAGCCUGAUCCAGCAAUGCCGCGUGCAGGAUGAAGGCCUUCGGGUUGUAAACUGCUUUUGUACGGAACGAAACGGCGAGCUCUAAUACAGUUUGCUAAUAACGGUACCGUAAGAAUAAGCACNNGCUAACUACGUGCCAGCAGCCGCGGUAAUACGUAGGGUGCAAGCGUUAAUCGGAAUUACUGGGCGUAAAGCGUGCGCAGGCGGUUAUGUAAGACAGAUGUGAAAUCCCCGGGCUUAACCUGGGAACUGCAUUUGUGACUGCAUAGCUAGAGUACGGUAGAGGGGGAUGGAAUUCCGCGUGUAGCAGUGAAAUGCGUAGAUAUGCGGAGGAACACCGAUGGCGAAGGCAAUCCCCUGGACCUGUACUGACGCUCAUGCACGAAAGCGUGGGGAGCAGACAGGAUUAGAUACCCUGGUAGUCCACGCCCUAAACGAUGUCAACUGGUUGUUGGGUCUUCACUGACUCAGUAACGAAGCUAACGCGUGAAGUUGACCGCCUGGGGAGUACGGCCGCAAGGNUGAAACUCAAGGAAUUGACGGGGACCCGCACAAGCGGUGGAUGA